ensembl:snRNA U6 U6 spliceosomal RNA
UUGAUCUCCAGCACCACAAAAAAAAUUAGAUUAGAAUAAUACAGAGACUAGGAUGGCCCCUGUGCAAAGAUGACAUGCAAAUCUGUAAAGCAUUCCACACUUUG